ensembl:snoRNA small nucleolar RNA, C/D box 20
UGGAUAUGAUGACUGAUUAUCUGAAUUGCUGAUGAAACUGUUGUCAAAUUCCUCUAGAUAGUCAAGUGCUGAUCCAG